rnacentral:misc_RNA from 1 species
AAGUCGUAACAAGGUUUCCGUAGGUGAACCUGCGGAAGGAUCAUUAUUGAAUUCCAACUAGGGCUCGAGAUUGCUGCUGGCUCUCCGGGCAUGUGCACAUCUCAUUCAUUUACCUCUCACCUCUGUGCACUUUUCACAGGACAGCCUGGUGGUUAGUAGGCUUUCAAUUAGUCUAUGGCUACAGGUUGCUUUGUGUGCUUUAUAAACUCAUAAUCAAGUUCAGAAUGUCUAUUGUGUAUCCACACAUUUAAAUACAA